rnacentral:tRNA from 1 species
GGCCCCAUCGUCUAGCGGCCCAGGACAGUAGGUUUUCAGCCUACUAACACCGGUUCGAGUCCGGUUGGGGUCA